AGAUUGAACGCUGGCGGCAGGCCUAACACAUGCAAGUCGAGCGGUAGAGAGGUGCUUGCAUCUCUUGAGAGCGGCGGACGGGUGAGUAAUGCCUAGGAAUCUGCCUAGUGGUGGGGGGAUAACGUUCGGAAACGGACGCUAAUACCGCAUACGUCCUACGGGAGAAAGCGGGGGACCUUCGGGCCUCGCGCCAUUAGAUGAGCCUAGGUCGGAUUAGCUAGUUGGUGAGGUAAUGGCUCACCAAGGCGACGAUCCGUAACUGGUCUGAGAGGAUGAUCAGUCACACUGGAACUGAGACACGGUACCAGACCUCCGUACGGGA
rnacentral:rRNA from 1 species